CCAGGCAAACAACACACCCGAAAACCCGUAAAUUGGAUCGAUACAGAGAAGAUUAGCAUGGUCCCUGCGCAAGGAUGACACGCAUUAAUCGAGAAAGUAUCACCUUUU